GGGUAUAAAAAGGCAUCAGGCUGGGCGUCUGGGUAUUUGACAUGAGAACAAACCUCUGUCCCCUCGACCUGCAUGUGGAGGCCACCUGGGGCCGCUGCUGAUGCCCUUCAACCUCUCGGGAGAAGAAAAAGUGCCACUCCACCAUCUGCAGAGGCUGCUGAGGUCACACUGUGGUCCCCCGGGGCCCAUUCUCAGGCUGUGGAUGCCAGGUCCAUUAGGCAGUCUUGGAGCUGGCCGAUGUGGCUUCUCAGCAUGGUUCUGCCAUGGGGUGCCAAGCCAUCACCCGUCUCACGUCUGGGUUUCCCAUGCACCCACAUCUGCACCCACUCCUGAAGGACAGGGCGGCCUCUCCAUCAGCCAGAACCCAGGGUACCCAGAACAGGAACGAGUCCCUUCAGAAAACCAG
rnacentral:lncRNA from 10 species